UUUCCCCGGAAAUAACCAGAGGAGGAAGGUUUGUUAGGAUUUAUCUGCUGCUUGAUCAUUUGAUUAUUUGUUUGCAAAUUCAUUUCAUUCAGGAAAUUAAAAUCAUAAAUAUUACGAUAAUUGAAAAAUGCAUAUUUUUAUUUUGGAAACGAUGAUCACAUUAGAGAAGAGAUAAAGUGUGAACCAAAUGUGAAUAGAAUAGUCACUGGAAUUUUGGGUGCUACAAAGUUUACGAGGAAAUGUCUUCUAAAGAUGAAAGUAUUAAAAAAAAAAAAAAAAGAAAAACAACAACAACAACUAGAAGGUCGGUUAUUGAGGCAAUGGGAUUUGAAGGCCAAUCUUAGUUUUGGUUUACAGUCAGGAUCCCUUGAGAGCUCACAGAACCAAAUAUCUUUGUCUUUAAAUAAAGGGUUCCUUUUUUCUUUGUUAGGCUUUCAGGAAGGAUGUGAUCUUUAUAAUUGAUAUAAGUGGAAGCAUGAAUGGAGCUCCUUUUGAGAAUGCGAAGAAUGCGCUAAUAUCAUCACUCUCUAAACUCAAUUCUGAAGAUUCUUUCAACGUAAUUGCUUUCAAUGGGGAGACCUAUUUAUUUUCAUCAUUAUUGGAGCCGGUAACACAGGGAACAAUAUCAAAAGCUACCCAGUGGCUUAGUGAUAAUUUAACCGUUGGUGGUGAUACAAACAUUUUGCUUCCUCUUAAACAGGCUAUGAAGCUGUUGGCUGAAACUACUGAUUCAAUUCCUCUUAUUUUUCUCAUCACUGAUGGGGCUGUUGAGGAUGAAAGGGAUAUUUGCAAUUUUGUGAAAGAGUCUCUUAAAAGUGGAGGAUCAAUUUCUCCUCGUUUAUGUACAUUUGGCAUUGGAUUAUAUUGUAACCACUAUUUCUUGCAAAUGCUAGCACAAAUAGGAAGGGGUUAUUUUGAUAGUGCUUAUGAUGCAGAUUCAGUUGAUUUUCGAAUGCAGCGGUUAUUUUCAACUGCUUCAUCGGUCAUCCUAGCAAAUGUUACAGUGGGUGCUUUGGAACAUUUUGAUUCACUCGAGUUGCUUCCAUUUAGAAUUCCAGACCUCUCAUGUGGAAGUCCAUUGGUUGUAUCAGGCAGAUAUACUGGAAACUUUCCGGACUCUGUAAAAAUUAAUGGUACUUUGGCAGAUAUGAGCAAUUUCACAAUAGAAUUAAAAACGCGAAAGGCAAAGGAUGUUCAACUUGAUAAAGU
rnacentral:misc_RNA from 1 species